rnacentral:rRNA from 1 species
AUUGAACGCUGGCGGCAUGCUUUACACAUGCAAGUCGAACGGUAACAGGCCGCAAGGUGCUGACGAGUGGCGAACGGGUGAGUAAUGCAUCGGAACGUGCCCAGUCGUGGGGGAUAACGCAGCGAAAGCUGCGCUAAUACCGCAUACGAUCUAUGGAUGAAAGCGGGGGACCGUAAGGCCUCGCGCGAUUGGAGCGGCCGAUGUCAGAUUAGGUAGUUGGUGGGGUAAAGGCUCACCAAGCCGACGAUCUGUAGCUGGUCUGAGAGGACGACCAGCCACACUGGGACUGGGACACGGCCCAGACUCCUACGGGAGGCAGGAGGGGGGAAUUUUGGACAAUGGGCGCAAGCCUGAUCCAGCAAUGCCGCGGGCAGGAAGAAGGCCUUCGGGUUGUAAACUGCUUUUGUACGGAACGAAACGGCUCUGGUUAAUACCUGGGGCUAAUGACGGUACCGUAAGAAUAAGCACCGGCUAACUACGUGCCAGCCGCCGCCGUAACAC